AGGUAGAGCAAGUGAAUCAUGACCAUUUUAACAGAGGAGGAAACUGAGUUUCAAAUAUGUUAAAAUGACUUGCCUCACAAGGGACUAUCAGAAAAACAUGGAGAGUGAGUCCUGCUCCAGUGCUUCCCUAACUACCAAGAUGCUGAAAAAAAACCUUUUAAAAAGAUGAAGAAACAAAGUCUUACUAAGGUUAAGUGAUUUGCCAAAGGUUACAUGACUAAUAAGUGACCUAUUUGAACCCAUGCUAUGUACUUCCAAUUUGAAGAAACCCCACAGGCAGGUGAACUCACUGCCCUCCCCCCUACAUAGGACAUGACUCCCAGAGGUAU